rnacentral:rRNA from 1 species
CCUACGGGAGGCAGCAGUGAGGAAUAUUGGUCAAUGGGCGCGAGCCUGAACCAGCCAAGUCGCGUGAGGGAAGACGGUCCUAUGGAUGGUAAACCUCUUUUGUCGGGGAGCAAAAGACGCCACGCGUGGCCUUCCGAGAGUACCCGAAGUACAAGCAUCGGCUAACUCCGUGCCAGCAGCCGCGGUACUACGGAGGAUGCGAUUGUUGUCCGGAUUUAUUGGGUUUAAGGGGUGCGCAGCCGGAACAUCAAGUCAGCGGUAAAAUUGAGAGGUUGACCCUCUUCGAGCCGUUGAAACUGGUUUUCUUGAGUGAGCUAGAAGUAUGCCGAAUUCGUGGUGUAGCGGUGAAAUGCGUAGAUAUCACGCAGAACUCCGAUUGCGAAGGCAGCAUACCGGCGCUCAACUGACGCUCAUGCACGAAAGUGUGGGUAUCGAACAGGAUUAGAUACCCGUGUAGUC